rnacentral:misc_RNA from 1 species
AAGUCGUAACAAGGUUUCCGUAGGUGAACCUGCGGAAGGAUCAUUACUUUUCAAUGCAGAAGAGUUGAGAUGGUUGAGUAUCUCGCCUCUCAAUUCUCGCUGUAUUUUACCCUUGUUUUUCUCAUACUAUUAUUUCCUCGGCAGGCUCGCCUGCCGGGUGAAACAACUUCAAACCUGUUUAAUUUUCAAUCAGCGUCUGAACAAAUUAAUAAUUACAACUUUCAACAACGGAUCUCUUGGUUCUG